rnacentral:lncRNA from 1 species
GAUCAAGAUGACCGUCACCUUCAACAACCACAGGAAGCCACAGCUCUCCAAGUUCCACCAGCUCUACAGUGAAGACACACAACAGCAAAUCAUCAGGGAGACUUUCCACUUGGUAUUUAAGAGAGAUGAAAAUGUUUGUAAGUUUCUAGAAGAAGGAUUAUUAAUUGGAGGAUAGGACAACAAACUGAUUUCUAGACCUCACAUAAUAACAUAUUUUGUCUUCUGUGUGGGUUCUUCAGAAAAUGAACUUGGUGUUUUAGAUCUAAUUUGAGUAUUUGUGGAAACAUUAGGCAAGUGUUUUUGAAAAUGUGAACUGGAUUUCAUCUUCCAUGUGGCUCACAUUAUUCUUGUAGAAAUGAUAUUGGGAGAGACCAACAAGAAUGAGCUUGUUACACAAAUUAAUGUGCAAAAUAAGCUGAAAAAAACAAAGGUUGGCUUUACAGGAACCUAGCAGCCCAUGCUGUAUCAGCUGUAUAGAAUAUAAACCCUCCCAAGAGUCCAAGAAACAUUAACACUGGUGACAUCGGUAUAAAAGUGCCAAACCUGCCCUCUUUUAGAUAAA